ensembl:snoRNA SNORA70 Small nucleolar RNA SNORA70
CUGCAGCCAAUUAAGCUGACUGAGUUCCUUUCCUCAUGGCGGCCCAGUGUGCAAUGGCUGCAAACAGCAGCUUCCCUGGUAGUGAUGCAGCCUGUUUGUUGUAUGUAUUGCUCUAAGGGACCUUGGAGACAGUC